rnacentral:rRNA from 1 species
AAUCAACGCUGGCGGCGUGCCUCAGACAUGCAAGUCGAACGAUUAAAGCUCUCUUCGGAGAGUGUAUAGAGUGGCGCACGGGUGAGUAACACGUAAGUAAUCUACCCUCGAGUGGGGAAUAACAACCGGAAACGGUUGCUAAUACCGCAUAAUGCAGCGGCACCGCAAGGUGACAGUUGUUAAAGAUUUAUCGCUUGAGGAGGAGCUUGCGGCAGAUUAGCUAGUUGGUAGGGUAACGGCUUACCAAGGCUACGAUCUGUAACCGGUCUAAGAGGACGGUCGGUCACACUGACACUGAAUAACGGGUCAGACUCCUACGGGAGGCAGCAGUCGGGAAUUUUGGGCAAUGGGCGAAAGUCUGACCCAGCAACGCCGCGUGAAGGAUGAAGUAUUUCGGUAUGUAAACUUCGAAAGAAUAGGAAGAAUUAAUGACGGUACUAUUUAUAAGGUCCGGCUAACUACGUGCCAGCAGCCGCGGU